GGAUUAGAUACCCUGGUAGUCCACACCGUAAACGAUGAAUGCCAGUCGUCGGUUAGUAUACUAUUCGGUGACACACCUAACGGAUUAAGCAUUCCGCCUGGGGAGUACGCUCGCAAGGCUGAAACUCAAAGGAAUUGGCGGGGACUCGCACAAGCGGUGGAGCAUGUGGUUUAAUUCGAUGCUAAGCGAAGAACCUUACCAGGGCUUGACAUGUAAGCAUAAGCUUGCGUGAAAGCGUGGAGUGAAUUUGAGCUUGCUUAAAUUGGUUUACACAGGUGCUGCAUGGCUGUCGUCAGCUCGUGUCG
rnacentral:rRNA from 1 species